rnacentral:rRNA from 1 species
GAUGAACGCUGGCGGCGUGCCUAAUACAUGCAAGUCGAGCGAACGGACGAGAAGCUUGCUUUUCUGAUGUUAGCGGCGGACGGGUGAGUAACACGUGGAUAACCUACCUAUAAGACUGGGAUAACUUCGGGAAACCGGAGCUAAUACCGGAUAAUAUUUUGAACCGCAUGGUUCAAAAGUGAAAGACGGUCUUGCUGUCACUUAUAGAUGGAUCCGCGCUGCAUUAGCUAGUUGGUAAGGUAACGGCUUACCAAGGCAACGAUGCAUAGCCGACCUGAGAGGGGGAGCGGCCACACUGGAACCGAGACACGGGCCCGACUCCCAGGGGGGGCAGGAGUGGGGAAUCUUCCGAAAGGGGCGAAAGCCUGACGGAGCAACGCCGGGUGAGGGAUGAAGGUUUUCGGAUCGUAAAACUCUGUUAUUAGGGAAAAAAAUAUUGGUAAGUAACUGGGCACAUCUGGACGGUACCUAAUAAAAAAGCCGCGGCUAACUAGGG